rnacentral:rRNA from 1 species
UACGGAGGGUGCGAGCGUUGUCCGGAAUCACUGGGCGUAAAGGGCGCGUAGGCGGCGCGAGGAGUCGGGGGUGAAAGCCCUGGGCUCAACCUGGGAAUGGCAUUGGAAACUGGCGAUCUAGAGUGCGGUAGAGGGCAGUGGAAUUCCCGGUGUAGCAGUGAAAUGCGUAGAGAUCGGGAGGAACAUCUGUGGCGAAGGCGACUGCCUGGACCAGCACUGACGCUGAGGCACGAAAGCGUGGGGAGCAAACAGG